CAGCCAUAUCACACUGAAACACAGUUUCUGUACGAUCACCAAAGUUAAGCAACAUUGAGUCUGGUUGGUACCUAGAUGGGUGACCAUUUAGGAAUACCAGACGCUGUAAG